rnacentral:rRNA from 1 species
UGGGGAAUAUUGCACAAUGGGCGCAAGCCUGAUGCAGCCAUGCCGCGUGUGUGAAGAAGGCCUUCGGGUUGUAAAGCACUUUUGUCCGGAAAGAAAUCCUUGGCUCUAAUACAGUCGGGGAUGACGGUACCGGAAGAAUAAGCACCGGCUAACUACGUGCCAGCAGCCGCGGUAAUACGUAGGGUGCAAGCGUUAAUCGGAAUUACUGGGCGUAAAGCGUGCGCAGGCGGUUUGCUAAGACCGAUGUGAAAUCCCCGGGCUCAACCUGGGAACUGCAUUGGUGACUGGCAGGCUAGAGUAUGGCAGAGGGGGGUAGAAUUCCACGUGUAGCAGGUGAAAUGCGUAGAGAUGUGGAGGAAUACCGAUGGCGAAGGCAGCCCCCUGGGCCAAUACUGACGCUCAUGCACGAAAGCGUGGGGAGCAAACAGGAUUAGAUACCCUGGUAGUCCACGCCCUAAAACGAUGUCAACUAGUUGUUGGGGGAUUCAUUUCCUUAGUAACGUAGCUAACGCGUGAAGUUGACCGCCUGGGGAGUACGGUCGCAAGAUUAAAACUCAAAGGAAUUGACGGGGUCAUAGCUGUUUCCUG